AGUGAACGCUGGCGGUAGGCCUAACACAUGCAAGUCGAACGGCAGCACAGUAAGAGCUUGCUCUUACGGGUGGCGAGUGGCGGACGGGUGAGGAAUACAUCGGAAUCUACUUUUUCGUGGGGGAUAACGUAGGGAAACUUACGCUAAUACCGCAUACGACCUACGGGUGAAAGCAGGGGAUCUUCGGACCUUGCGCGAUUGAAUGAGCCGAUGUCGGAUUAGCUAGUUGGCGGGGUAAAGGCCCACCAAGGCGACGAUCCGUAGCUGGUCUGAGAGGAUGAUCAGCCACACUGGAACUGGGACACGGUCCAGACUCCUACGGGAGGCAGCAGUGGGGAAUAUUGGACAGUGGGCGCAAGCCUGAUCCAGCCAUACCGCGUGGGUGAAGAAGGCCUUCGGGUUGUAAAGCCCUUUUGUUGGGAAAGAAAAGCAGCAGGUUAAUACCCAGCUGUUCUGACGGUACCCAAAGAAUAAGCACCGGCUAACUUCGUG
rnacentral:rRNA from 1 species